CAGGGAUGAGGGCAUUCAUAGAGCUCUGUGUAGUGACAGUUUUUGCUUGGCUUUAUUAGUUUGCAGAGGAAUCGUCCAGGAGCCCCAGCCGGAUGAGAAUGUCAGAAGUGGACCUGAGCAGCCUGGCCAUCCUUCUAAGGAAACAAGAAUAGUCCUCAGGUUUCUGCCUUCUGCAUAACUGGCUUACCAAGCAAAAAGACGUCACAUGUCAGUCUACUGCCCUUAUGAGUGAGAGUGACGAGACUGCGAGCGUUGUUGGUGCCAGGCAGGAGCCGUCCAUCUGGGAGCAGAACAGCUGCUACUAUCACUGAGAUAAGUAUCUGUUUUGCUGAGGGUUCUGCUCACGGCCCACCUGGCUACAGGUAGAGACACCCCGUUAGGUGGGGCUGGGUUUGUAAGAAAAGGUUCCUGACUAGCUGUGGUUUUGAGGGAGACACGGUCCCCAUUUUCAGGGGCUGAUCAUUUCUCUGGCCAGGAUCAGUGUGUCCUCGGCAGGAGAAGGUUAGAUCCAUGAGGAUGACUCCAGGUGAGGAAUUGUCCAGGCGCAGCAGCUGAAGGAGAAAGUGGCAGACGCGGACCUGAGGAGCCUGGACAUCCUUCUAAGCAGACAUGAAUGGUCCUCAGAUUUCUGCCUCCCGCACAACUGGCUGUGCGUAAUCGGUCAGUGCUUGGAAUCCCUCAUUUGUACUUGCUCCGGUUUUGUUCAGAGGCUCUGAAUUUCUUCAUUGGACACGGUGCUCUGUGGGAUUCAGACGAGGCAAAGGCACAAGUCUCCUGUGCAGAUGCUGGGUUUAGUACCAAGUGGAGAGUCAGAGUCCACUCCCUACAUUCCGUGGAAAGGGAGCGAGAGCUGGGAGAUUCUAAGCAUUGUUGAUGCCAGGGAAGAGCCAUCCAGCUGGGAGUGGAGCAAGGACCACUGUCAGUGAGAUAAGUGUCUUGUUAGGUGAAGGCUCUGCUGUGGUUACGAGGGAGACAAGGUCCCUAUUUUCAGGGGCUGCUCAGUCCUCUGGCCAGUACCGGGGUGUCCUCUGCAGCGGAAGGUUGGAUCCAGGAGGAUGACUCCAGGUGUCAAGUUGCUUGCCUUCCUCCCGUGUGGCUCAUUUUCUCGCUCUCUGUCUCUUUAGUGUGUUGGCCAACGCUCUCUCUUAAUCUGUCCUUUCCUUGUCCCAUCUCCCUUCUUAGGACACAGGCAGGCCUGCGGGGUGUGCAUCUCCACAGGUUAGGUCUUGAAAGCCCUGGAGUAGUAGGAGGGGACGAAAACCAUGCGGGGUAGUGGGUGCGAGAGUGGAGCAGUGACUGUCAGUGUUGAAUCGGUCUCUGUUCAAGUGAGGCUGAUGUAGAUGGGGUGAAAGAGGGAGGCAGGAUUGAGAGCAACGUUUCAAGUACCAUUAGAGCUGUGUGUAGAGAUGGCGCAUGCUUGGCUU